UACGUACGAGGCAAGCGUUAUCCGGAAUUACUGGGCGUAAAGCGCGCGCAGGUGGCGAAGUAAGUGAGACGUGAAAUCUCCCGGCUUAACUGGGAGGGUGCAGCGGAAACUAGAGUGCUAGAGGGUGGGAGAGGUAAGCGGAAUUCCUGGUGUAGCGGUGAAAUGCGUAGAUAUCAGGAGGAACACCUGUGGUGUAGACAGCUUACUGGACCACUUCUGACGCUGAGACACGAAAGCGUGGGUAGCAAACAGG
rnacentral:rRNA from 1 species